rnacentral:rRNA from 1 species
CAGGAUGAACGCUGGCGGCGUGCUUAACACAUGCAAGUCGAACGAGGAAUUUUAAAUGAGACUUCGGUGGAUUUUAAAAUUCUUAGUGGCGGACGGGUGAGUAACGCGUGGGCAACCUGCCCUGUACAGGGGGACAACAGCUGGAAACGGCUGCUAAUACCGCAUAAGCGCACAGCAUCGCAUGAUGCCGUGUGAAAAACUCCGGUGGUACAGGAUGGGCCCGCGUUGGAUUAGGUAGUUGGUGGGGUAACGGCCUACCAAGCCGACGAUCCAUAGCCGACCUGAGAGGGUGACCGGCCACAUUGGGACUGAGACACGGCCCAAACUCCUACGGGAGGCAGCAGUGGGGAAUAUUGCACAAUGGGGGAAACCCUGAUGCAGCGACGCCGCGUGAGCGAAGAAGUAUUUCGGUAUGUAAAGCUCUAUCAGCAGGGAAGAAAAUGACGGUACCUGACUAAGAAGCCCCGGCUAACUACGUGCCAGCAGCCGCGGUAAUACGUAGGGGGCAAGCGUUAUCCGGAUUUACUGGGUGUAAAGGGAGCGUAGACGGCUUCGCAAGUCUGAUGUGAAAGGCGGGGGCUCAACCCCUGGACUGCAUUGGAAAACUGUGAGGCUUGAGUGCCGGAGAGGUAAGCGGAAU